rnacentral:rRNA from 1 species
GAAAUGCGAUAAGUAAUGUGAAUUGCAGAAUUCAGUGAAUCAUCGAAUCUUUGAACGCACCUUGCGCUCCUUGGUAUUCCGAGGAGCAUGCCUGUUUGAGUGUCAUUAAAUUCUCAACCUUACCAGCUUUUGCUGAUAAUGGCUUGGAUGUGGGGGUCUUUUGCUGGCUUUAGUCGGCUCCCCUCAAAUGUAUUAGCCGGUGCCCCGCGCAGAGCCGUCUAUUGGUGUGAUAAUUAUCUACGCCGUGGAUGUCUGYAUUAMUGGGAUUGUACUGCUUCUAACCGUCCUUUCAUGGACAACUUAAUGACAAUUUGACCUCAAAUCAGGUAGGACUACCCGCUGAACUUAA